GACAGAGGGUGCAAGCGUUGUUCGGAUUUACUGGGCGUAAAGCGUGUGUAGGCGGCUUGGCAAGUUGGAUGUGAAAGCCCACGGCUCAACCGUGGAAGCGCAUCCAAAACUGCUUCGCUCGAGUCUCGGAGAGGAAGGUGGAAUGCUUGGUGUAGAGGUGAAAUUCGUAGAUAUCAAGCAGAACACCUGCGGCGAAGGCGGCCUUCUGGACGAUGACUGACGCUGAGACACGAAAGCGUGGGGAGCAAACAGG
rnacentral:rRNA from 1 species